UACGUAGGUGACAAGCGUUGUCCGGAUUUACUGGGCGUAAAGAGCUCGUAGGCGGUUCGUCGCGUCGGCUGUGAAAUCCCGAGGCUCAACCUCGGGUCUGCAGUCGAUACGGGCGGACUGGAGUUCGGCAGGGGAGACUGGAAUUCCUGGUGUAGCGGUGAAAUGCGCAGAUAUCAGGAGGAACACCAAUAGCGAAGGCAGCUCGCUGGGACGGUAUUGACGCUAAGGCGCGAAAGCGUGGGGAGCAAACAGG
rnacentral:rRNA from 1 species